rnacentral:lncRNA from 1 species
UUUUUUUUAUUUUGAGAGUCAGAGUCUCGCUCCAUCGGCCAGGCUACAGUGCAGUGGCAUGAUCUCGGCUCACUGCAACCUCUGCCUCCUGGGUUUAAGCGUUUCUGGUGCCCCAGCCUCCAGAGUAGCUGGGAUUACAGGUGCCCGCCACCUCGCCCAGACAAUUUUUGUAUUUUUAGUAGAGACGGGGUCUCACUAUGUUGGCUAGGUUGGUCUUGAACUCCCGACCUCAAGUGAUCCACUCGCCUCGGCCUCCCAAAGUGUUGGGAUUACAGGCAUGAGCCACCGUGCCCAGGCUUUUCUAUCAUUCUCUCUGCAAGAUGGGACUGGGAGGACAAACGGCAAAAGCUGGUAUCAGGGCUUAUAGCUGGCCUUGGGCUAGGAAAGGAUGAGGGGCAACAUUUUCAUAGUAAUAAAUAUCAUUUUCAUGAUAGCUCCCACUUCUUAAGGACCUAUCAGUGGUUUUUAAACUGCCCUGCAGAGUUCUAGGAUUCCACGGACGGUCUCAGGAGCUGCAGUGAAUAGAGGGGGGACCAGCAGUUCACGUUCAGGGCUGCCUCCUCUGCUUCAAGCAGAUCAGUUUUGCUUUUACCUAAUAUAUUGAUCCUCUACAUAACAUUUUAUUUGAAAAGUAGUAUAUCUGUUAAAAAUGUUUGAACAUGUCUACAGAAGUAUUGGAUCAAAUUGAUAAUAUAAACAAAUACAUGUUUGUCCAGGUUUCUUCCUUUCCAAGCUUAGGAAAAGCAGAUAUGGGGAACAAGAGGCAGUCCCCAGUCAAUAUUCAGUGUGAUUUUUGUAAUGUUACAAUAGUAGGAACAAUUAGGCAGUUCCUCCCUUCAUUCUUCCACUUGUGCUAUGCAGCAAGCCGCAAAAGCAAUAUCCAGUGAAUGAGAACACUUGGGUAUUGCAAGCCGGGAGUACUCAGCAGGCAUAUAUACCACCAAAAGAAAGUGGGGGUUCCCAUGCCCAGAAGAUGAGCUGAUGACCCCCUUAGCUUGGUGGUAUGUCCUACCUCUCCUCUGUAACCACAGGAAGCAGAACACAAUACACAGAUAAGCACUCACAGACAGAGAGACAGGCAGAUUAGCAGGUAACUAAAAAUGUAAACCUAAGGACACAACCAAGAAUCACUACACAUUUGAGGAAAACUGCAGAGGCGUUCCAGGAGAGAAUGGUGGGAAUGGAUAGAGAGGGAGUAUACAAAGAAUAACAGAAUAAAAUCUCUUUUUUUCAUUUUUUUUGAGACGGAGUCUUACUUGUCGCCCAGGCUGGAAGUGAGACUCUGUCUCUAAAAUAAUAAAAAUCAUGAUUUCAUACGAAUACAUUAGAUUCCUAUUCAAUAUCAGAAUGUUCAUUUCAUCUGAAGGACUUUUAAAGACAGGUGUGUCCAAAGUUAAAUGUCUGGUUUAUGUGAAAGUACCCUUUCCAUCACUACAGCCUUUUAAUUGUGACCAAUAUACACACAAAUGGCUUGUGUGUAUGUCAAGGAAAAGGGGUCCCUGUCCAUGGCUAGAGCAAUAUAAUGCAGAAUAAGAAUAUGAGAUUGUGAGAUGACUUAUAAAUUACACCAGCUGAGCAAAGCAAAAGGUCUGAACCAAAGGUAAAUAGGAAAACGUAAGGCCCCCAUAAGGGACAGACAGCGUAUGUUCUGCCAUUUCUACUUUCUGUACCAAUGGCAGAUAUCAACAAAUGACCACCACACACUGACUGACUAAGCAAAAACAUGGCUCCAAAUUUUCAGACAUGCAUUUCAGACAGCCACUACUAAGCAACUGGAAUUCACACUGUAGAUGACUCCUAUCCCUAGGUUAAACAAAUGAACAGCUCAUGUAAACCAUAUUAGCUGGGAGAGGAGGGAGAACAUUAUCCGUCAUUAGAUUUUUGCACAAAUUACAGAAAAAGCCUGACACAACGUGGUCAAUGAUGUUCAAAAAUUCAAUGACAUGAGGCCAGUUCCUAGGGUUUGGCUCAUGAUACAAGGUUUCAUAUCACCUGGUGGCCAGUUCUUCAUUUUAGUUUAGAUAUCAGUGGGACAGACUGUUAACCAUGUGCAUAGCUGAGAUUUCCAGGUCAGCAUAGUGACUCCAGGCAUCUUCCAAUUGAAUGGGACUUGUUUCUAUGACCGAUCCUAAGAGAAUGGAAUGGAUAACAUUGUGGACACAGGACCCACCCUCCAUAUUCCUACUUACUAAGAUGGAGUUGCUGCUGUUUCUCUCCCCUCUGGGAUUCUCUCUACCUUCCAUGUCAAGCCUCUCCUGUGCAAAUUUAGCUCACCCCAAUUGAAGAAAUAUGUUGAGUAGAGAAUGGGAGCCAAUCGCCAGUCAGGUUGUAUAUGAGUUUACAUGAUGGUGACGGUUUCUUAUACCUGGUAAGAGUAACCAGCAGAAAGCUGUGGCAUGAGCUAAUGGGAAAUAAGAGGGACAACUAUGAUGGAAAAAUGAUGAGGACAAUAGAGGAGGUAGGUACUCUG